rnacentral:rRNA from 1 species
CCUACGGGAGGCAGCAGUGAGGAAUAUUGGUCAAUGGUCGGGAGACUGAACCAGCCAAGCCGCGUGCAGGAAGAAGGUACUGAGUAUUGUAAACCUCUUUUGUCCGGGAACAAAGGCGGGGACGUGUCUCCGGCUGAGAGUACCUGACGAAUAAGCAUCGGCUAACUCCGUGCCAGCAGCCGCGGUAAUACGGAGGAUGCGAGCGUUAUCCGGAUUUAUUGGGUUUAAAGGGUGCGUAGGCGGUCUGAUAAGUUAGAGGUGAAAUGCCGGGGCUCAACUCCGGAACUGCCGCUGAGACUGUUGGUCUAGAGAGGAGGGGAGGUAGGCGGAAUGUAUGGUGUAGCGGUGAAAUGCUUAGAGAUCGUACAGAACACCGAUUGCGAAGGCAGCUUGCC